CCACUGCAUUCCAGCCUGGGCAACAGAGCAAGACUCCAUCUCAAAAAAAAAAAAAAAACACGAGUUAAUGCAAGUGCAAAAUUUAAGGAUGACUGUCCGGGAAACACAGACUUCAGAGGAAUGGAAUCAAUGCUCUGAAAUGGAGAAGUUAAGGUUUUACUUCUAUAGGUAGAAACAGAGAAGUUUAGCAGGAUGACUAAAGUUUAGCAGCCUUUUCCAUACAAGGCUGGUUUAUGAAUUAUAGCAAUCUGACUGGUUGCAGCUUGUUCUUUUUCAGGAAUGGUAUAGUCAACAAUCUAUCUUGAGUAAAUUGAUUGUCACAGAGCCUUUGGUGCUAUCUGGUCGGAGUCAGGUGCAAGAGAGGAAAGAAGGAAGUUAACCUACAAGGAGAGUCAGUAAUGAGGAAAAAGGGGUCUUUCCUCCAGUGCCAUUUAGUCUUUUACAACAUUUUACAAAAGAAUGUAGGUGGGGAAAAGGUUGAUCUACAAUCAGAGAAACAGCCUGUGGCUGCCUUUAUGUGACUCAGGCCCCACUUUUCUUCCAAGUCUCCAAAUACAAUCCCAACAGGUUUGUAAGCAGACAGGGAGGGUCUUCAGGGACUAUAGGCAUUUCGUCAGCCGGAGCAAUAAGCCUGUUUGACAGCCUCCUGCUUUGCAGCGUGUUUUAUCCCAAACCCUGUGUUGAAUGUGGUCACCUCAUUGCUGGCACCAGCUCCUGACAGACCCAGGCAACUUCUAGAUCAAGCUUGUCCAACCAGCGGCCCAGGACGGCUUUGAAUGUGACCCAACGCAAAUUCAUAAACUUUCUUUGAACCUGAUGAGAUUUUUUUUGCAAUUUUGUUUAGCUCAUUAGAUACAGUUAGUAUUAGUGUAUUUUACGUGUGGCCCAAGACAAUUCUUCUUCUUCCAGUGUGGCCCAGGGAAGCCAAAAGAUUGGACACCCCUGUUCUAGAUGAACCUGAGUGCACAUUCCUCAUGACCACGCUGACCAUGAGCUCCACCUUGGGAGGAGCCACACCUUCAUCACCAUCACAGGCAACCUGUGGGCUGGCACAACGAUGCCCUGUGUCUGCAGCCGCGGGCCCCUCGUCCCCUCCAUCACUGCAUAAAACCCUCCUGUCACUUUCCCUCAGGGAGACACUGCUUUGGAGAAUCCUUGCAGGGCUCUUCUUACCUGUGGUGAGUCAUCAAACUCCUACUGAUCCAAACCUGCAUUCUCGUGGAGAGCCGUUUGAGAUUCACCAGGUGAAUGAACCCCAGUUUUUUUCUGGGUAUCAGGUCGAAUGUGGAUUACUUAUUUUCACAAGCUCUUGACGUGUUCUGUCAAAUUGCUGUUUCCCAGAGAGUAGACUCUGGUGACAUACAAGUGUGUGGGACCAUUGCAUCUUAUCCCAGGAGAUCCACUCCUGAUCUGGCAUUAUUCAAAAUCUGCUGAAUUCAAAACGGUCCUCUGCUUCCUGCUCACCAGGUCUGAAAAGAAAAAAGAAGAAGGAAAGACUACGCCUGACAAAAGACAGGGGGAGACGUUUGUAUUAGUUUGCCAGUUUGAGGAAAUGCCUUACUUUGCAAUAUUGUAAAUCCAGUUUACAGCUCACUUGACAGCUUUGAAAUGACUUAUUUUUUGGCAUACAUUUGAAAAGUCAGGAGAGCUGAGACAAAAUGAAAAUUUAUCAGUAUUUAACAUUUGAUAAAAUACCUUGAAUAUUUUAAAUGCUCAUAAAAUGCUAUUACGCUACGCUUUAUUUUAUUUUAUUGAUUUUAUAUUUUGAGACGGGGUCUCAUUCUGUUGCUUAGGCUGGAGUGCCGUGGCAUGAUCACAGCCUACUGCAGCCUCAACCUCCUGGGCUCAAGCAAUCCUCCCACCUCAGCCUCCCGAGUAACUGGGACUACAGGCACCCGCCACCACACCCGGCUAAUUUUUGUAUUGUUAGUAGAGAUGGAAUUUUGCCAUGUUGCCCAGGCUGGUCUCAAACUCCUGACCUCAGGUGAUCCACCCACCUUGGCUUCCCAAAGUGCUGGGAUUACAGGCAUGAGCUACCAUGCCCAGCUGACACUAUACUAUUUCUGCAAGGCAUUCUCCAGCAUUGGGCACUAUUAUUUUGUUUUGUUUUUCACCCUAAACAAAUAGGACGUCUAACUACCAAGUUUGUAGCUCUAGGCCUUGAGAUCCAUUUGUAAGAGUGGGGAAGAAGGAGGCAAAGUAAUAUAUGUGCUAGCUAAUAAUUACAUGUUCUGCUUAUUAAGAAUUUACUUUCUUUUUGGCCGGGCACGGUGGCUCACACUUUGGGAGGCUGAGGUGGGUGGAUCGCCUGAGGAGUUCGAGACCAGCCUGGUCCAACAUGGUGAAACCCCGUCUCUACUAAAAAUACAAAAAUUAGCCAGGCAUGGUGGCGCGCACCUGUAAUCCAAGCUACUCAAGAGGCUGAGGCAGGAGAAUCGCUUGAACCCGGGAGGCAGAGGUUGCAGUGAGCUGAGAUUGUGCCAUUGCACUCCGGCCUGGGCGACAGAGUGGAAAAAAAAAAAAAAAAAAAGUACUUUCUUCCAGGUCCUGUGCCAAGCACUUGUGUUAUCUCAUGUAUCCUUGGAUCCUUUUCUGUAGGUUCAAUUACCCCCAUAUUACAGACAAGCAAACUGAGGUGCAGAUCCCAGAGAGGUGAGAGAGAGCACCAUUCUGGUAUGUAGCAGGGGGAGUCAGAGAACAAAAAUCGGACUGACUGAUAAGAGGCAGAGGCACUGGUGCGGGCUCUGUCCCCAGCUUCCAGCUCAUCAUUCAACCUUCUGGGCCUUGACUCUGCCCUAAGGAGAGGCUGAGGACCAGGUGAUGGGCACCAACGUUUGGCUUCUUCUCAUCCCACAGGCCAGACCCCCUGGGCCUCACCUUCCAGUGAGGGAAGGGAGAGGUGCCUGCCUUUUCUUUUUCUGCACAGAGCAGGAGGGGAGUCGUGACCUCCAGGGCUCAGCAGAGCAUGAGCCUGGCCAUUGCCAAGCGGCCCGCCCAUCCGUGCUGUGGUUACACCGUCUUCAUGCUGGUUGGGGAGCCCCGAGAACUCAGGUUUGGUUCAUCCUCCAAACACGUGAACACGUGUUGAGCACUGACUGUGAAUGCAGCAGCUGUGAUGGGGGCUGAACUUAGGGCCAAGGAGCCAGGCUCCACUCCACUGUGACACCAGGUGUGGGGCUCGGGGACGUCACCCCUGUGGCCUCAGACCGCAGUUUCCUUUUCUGUAAAAUGGGGAUGGUGAUGACUACCUCGGAGGGUUGUUGUGAGGCUUAAAUGCGAAGAUGGGCAUGGCUGAGGCCAGCACGGGGCUCUGUAAAGUGUGAGUAGAAAGGGGCUCUCCAGGUGCACUCCGGGGAUGACUCAGGCGCCCGCUGGGGAUGCUCACCGGCCCGUACUGACAUCCAGAAUGGACCACAGGGGAGAAAGUGGCAGGCCAGCAGGAGGGAGGCACUUUCACUAGGGGCUGGGAAGGGUCCUGGGAGGGCUUCCUGGAGGAGGUAGUGUUUGCACCAAAUGAAAACCGGUUCUAUUCAGUGAUGAGACUUGCUGCCUGCAACCAGAACUUCCGUUUAAAAACUGGACAGAAGACUUCCCCCAGGAGGUAACUUCAGACUGACUCCUGCACCCAGAGAGGGCAUCCUUAGAGCAUCUUGGGGGAAAUCCACCCACCCCUAUGUAUUUUAUUUAUUAGACUCCCUACCCCUGAAUGCCCUCGCAGGACCACCAGGUUCCUGGUGCUGUCACCAAAUACCAUCUGGAAGCCUCCUCAUUCCACAGGUGAUUGUGAAAAUAAGACCUUAAAUGUUUCAUUUUGGUUUUUUCCCCUGAAAUAAAACCAAACAUAAUGACUAAGAAAAGCUCCACUUCUCCUCCAGGGCACCGCUCCCUCUGGUGGAGGGUUGGUUUCUGAUUUAGAUACUUUCUAUAUAUGAAUUACAGGGAAAGGGAGGCCUGGGAGCAGGUCCGGGGCAGCUCCUCCUGGCCAGCUGGGCGGCUGCCUGGGAUGCCCUGCAGGCUCUCAGGGGCUGCCAGGACGCCUGGCUUCUGCCUGAAGUGAGCAGCUCUCAGUCCCUAUUGGCCACACCUCUGCGGCAUCAGGAGAGGGCUUGGGCGCACACAGGGGCUUUGGUCUUUCUCCUGAGAGCAAUGAGGAGCUAUGGAAUGUGGCAGGCAGGGGAAGGACAGGACUAGAUUUGCUUUUUAGAGAAGACCCUUGGGUGAUCCCAGGAGAUCAGGUUGGAGGAGGCAAGGCUGGAGGCCAAGAGGUCUGGGCAGGGCCUUCAGGGAGGGGAGGAGGGAAGGGAAGAGGGACCCACUAAAGGGUGGGGAGUAGCUCCCUGGGCUGCCCGUUGUUGGUCAUGGCUCUGCCCUGGGGCCCAGGCCUGAUGUCCACCUUGGGCCUAAGUUCCUGCAGGUGCAGCUACAUGGGAUCUGAGCUGGCGCAGCUAUGUGGGGCCUGUUCUGGGCUAGUGACUCACUUCUGAACAGCUUUGGCAGAAUGAGGCAGUUUUCCCUUUCACAAAACUCAUCACAGUUCAAGCCUUUGGCCCCAAACAGUGGCAGAUGCCAGAGGGAUUUCCUGAGGUGGUUGAUGGGACUUUUGCUGAAAUGGUAGCAUGAACUUCACCUGGGCCUGCAGGGAGCCAUCCCCUGCCUCCAUCCCCUUGCUCCUCCUUGGCCUGUCCUAAAUCAGGGAUGGGACCUUGGUCCUUAUCCAGGGCAACCUUGGCCUUCAAGCAGCAUGCCUGAGCUCCUCCCUCAGGUUCUGCUCAGACGCUUCUUCCUCAGAACCUGCACGCCCCGCCGGGUCGUCACAUAGCAAGGCCCAUGCCUCCUCCUCCAGGACGCUGCACUCUGCCCAGAUCUCCUUGGGUGAUGCUAGCUCAUGGGGUGUGGGGAGUAUGGAAGCCCAGCUUCCUUGCUUGGGGUGGGGUUUUGAUUACCCUGAGAUGUAACUUACAUUCCAGAGCGGCCCUUGGGAUAGCAAUGAAGCAACUCCCUGCUGGAUUGGCCAGACUUGGUGUUGUUAGUCUUCCUUCCCUCCCCUCUCCUGCUUCCCACUCCUUUCCUGGUUUAUUCUGGGGCACUUCCUUAAUAAAUCACUUGCUCACAAAUCCUCGGCAGAGAGCCUGCUUCUGGGGACCUGACCAAAGACACAGCUUCCAGGGGUCACUCCUGCUGUUUCUCACCUUGGACAGAUCCUCCCUGACUGCACCCCUGUAAAACAGAAUGCAACGCAGAGCUCGUCUCCUGGGGGGAAGCUUCCUGAGGUCCCAUGACGCCUCGGCAGGCCCUGUUCCUGGUGCCUCAGUCCUGGGAGGUAGCCCUCCCCUUGGCUCCACCCACAAUUGAGUCUGCACAUAAAGUUGUUCUGCCCACCUUGGCUCUUGACUCCACCCCCACCUCAUAGCCUCUCUGGGCCUCCGUGGCUCCAUCUGUACAAUGGGGGCACAGGCUCUGCCCCUGUGAGCAGUGGUGUGACUCUGGUUCUGGAUUCCUGCUCCCAACCUCACCCUGUGGUAGCUGAGCCAGGACAUCUGGAAAAGAGGAGCCCAGCUUGUUCAAGAAUGAACAGUUGGGUCCCGGCUCAGAGAAUCAACCAUUCUGGCUAUUACAACUCAUUACUAAAUCCCAGCUAUGCCCUGAGAAGGAUUAAGGAAACUGCUCUGGUAAAAAAUCCCCAGCAGAAAGAAUGCACUCCCUCCCAGGGAGCCCUAGAAACCUGGCCACGGGAAUCUUCUCCUGGCAAUCUCCAACCAAUUCACAUUCCGGGUAUUUGCAUGCCAGAGGGCCAGCUGGGCAUCUGCGCCAUCGGCCCAUGCCUGGCAGAAAAGCGGCCCGAGGUGCUAGCUUUCGGAUUCACCGGCAGGACUUUAGGUAGUGCCAGCAGCUGAGGGAGCUUUGUUAGGCUGCAUCGCCCCACGGAGGAAACCUGAGGCUGGAUGGCAAGAAGCCUGGACAGGGUGCUGCUCUGCCUUGAACCUGCUGGCGACCCAGGCAGGACACUGUCCCCUGUUAAUCCUCAGCUUUCCCACUUAAAAGUUGGAAAUGGUAUCCCCAUUUACAGGGAUUUACUCACACAGAAUAUGUCUAUGGAGUGUUCGCCAUGUGGGGACCCAAGCUGGGCACUGGAACCAUGAAAAGGCUUGAACCCUACCCUGUCCUUGCCCUGUGUCGCUCCCAGGCUUGAAGCUGAGAAGGUAAAAGGAGAGGGUCAGAGGGAGAAGUGGGGUAUGUAUGUGGGGUCACAUUAGCACAAAGCUAGAGGCCUGCCGCUGUGAUGCCUUGAGGCUAUGGGUGAAUAAGCAGAUGUAGCCUAAGGAGCCACUGGGGUUGGCUGGCAGGUCAGGACAGGGCAGCCAUCAGGGUUGUGGUCACAUGCUUCAGUGUUACUGUCUUAAUCUAUUUUCUGCUGUUAUCACAGAAUACCGCAGACUGGGUAACUUGUGCAGAAAAGAACUGUAUUUGGCACAUGGUUCUGGAGGAUGGGAAGUCCAGAAAAAUAGUGCCAGCAACUGCAGACAGUCCUCCCGUGGCACAAGGCAUCACAUGGCCAGCAUGCACACAAGACAGAGAGAGAAAUGGGGCCAAACGUAUUCUUUCAUCAGGAGCUCACUCUUGCUUGCAGAGCCACACUUUGAACCUGAGAGACCGACUAAGCUGGAUGAUUCUCAAAGUGCGGUCUGUGGACCAGCAGCAGUAGCAACACUCAGGAACUCAAAGGAAAUGCAGGUUCUCUGGCCUCUGCCGAGUGCACUGAAUCAGAAUCUGCAUUUUAACAAGAUCCCCAGGUAAUUCCUUUUUAAGUUAAAGUGAGAAGCUCUGCCCAAGUCCAGAGGCUUAGGGACAAAUGACACCCACAAGCCAAAUCUGGCCACCUAGUUUUGUAUGAAUCCCACGCUAAGAAUGGGUCCUGCUCAGAAAAAAAGAAAAAGAAGAAGAAAGAAAAAUCUAGAGAAUAUUUUGUGAUAAAUAAAAGACAUGCAAAUUCAAAUUUUAAUGGCCAUAAACAAAGUUUUAUUGGAACCCGGCUGCACCCUUUGUUUAUGUAUUGUCUAUGGCUGCUCUUGUGCCAGAAUGGUGGCGUUAAGGAGUGGCAACAAAGACAGUGUGGGCCACAGUGUUAAAAUAUUGACUCCCCGGCCCUUUGAAGAAAACGUCCGCUAGUCCCUGCUCUAGUACAUCUUCCUCACACUUAUUAAUGAAGAAUCAGGGCUCCAGGGGGGAGGGGCAGUAUCUUGUUCAAGGCAUCAUGGGAGCUCUGCUUUCUGUACACGCUCAGUAUCCUGUUUCCACAGGCUCAGGCCUUAAGAGACUGAAAGCCCCUACUUUUUCUGUGUCUUGGGUUGGCCCAGGGUGGAAACCCAGGUUCCAGGCUGUGAGGAAGUCCAGGACACACAGAGAGGUCAUGUGUAGGUGUUCAGGCCAACAGCACAGCCGGGGUCCCAGCUGACAGCCAGCUCAAUGACCAGAGGUAUGAGUGAGGAAGCCUUCCGAUGACUCCAGGCCAACUCCUAUCUGACUACAGCUACAACCACACAAAAGAGCCUGAACGAGAACCACUGGCUGAGCCCAGUCAACCCCGGAACCAGAAGAGAUGAUAAUGCCAUCUAGCCUUGAGACUUGUUUGGAGGGUGACGGGGCCAAGAAUGACACCCACUGCCCCAGAGGCUGGGGGACUGGCAGGUGUGCCUUAGGGUUCGGGGGUGGAAUUGAAGGUCAUCCCGAGGAGGGUCCUUUUUGAGUGUGUUAAGGUGUCUGUGUCUGUGUGGACGAGCUGUCAGAAUGGGCUGGGAGAUGCGGUCAGGGACCACUCCCAUUCCCAGGGCCUGGGUGUCCUGACCAUCCAUGCUAGGUCUGUUCCAUGUUGGCCACGCUGUUCCAGGCAGGGGCCUGUGGUCACACAGACUGGUCUCUGAGCCCGGUCUGAUGUGUGUACUCUCAGGAGCCUGGACGGGGCAGUCUCAGUCCAGAAAUGACCUCUUCAAUACUUGGUGUGGUUCCUAUAUGAAAUGCCCAAUAUUAUGAGCCACCCAGGCCUGGGUCAGCUGCUGACUGGCUGGAGGAAGUGCACGGGACCACGUGAGGCCACGGCAGCCCCAGGGUUUGCAGUCAGAGGGACCUGCGUCUGAAUCCUGGCUCCCCCGCUUACAAGCUGUUUGACCUUGGUGAGGUCAGAUCAUCUUUCUAAGCUUCAGUUUCUUUAGCCACACAAUGGGUAUAACACUUACCCUUGAGGGUUAUUGCGAUUGUCAAACAAGGCAGCGUUUGCAUGGGCUCUGGGCCUUGCUAGACAUUCAUCAGGCACUUAAGCUAUGGGGGAGAGAAGUGAGGGGCUCAGGCUCUGGAGCCAGUGGGUUUAAACUCCACUCUACCACUAACAAGAUGUUAUUAAAAACUACUGUGUGCCUCAGUUUCCUCACCUGUAACAUGGGGAUAAUAAUAGUACCUGCCUCCUGGCUUGUGGAGAGGACAUGCUAUAUAUAGUGCUUACAACAGCACAACACACAUAUAUGGGUACUUCACAAACACGAAUCCAUUCAAGGAAACCAACCCUGGGUGCCCUGGGAUGGCCGUUGGUCAGAGACACAGAAGCUGAAGCCAGCUUAGGAUAAGCGGAGGGGCCCAGGCCUGCCCUUGGCUCCGCUGACCUCACUUCUGUUCCAGGGCUGUUUAGUUACCUGCUCCUAGGCCUGGGAGGCCCAGUGGACCACAGAGUGACCUCUUCUUCACUGAUCUGAUCUGAAUCCAUUCUGCUCCGUGAGGGCCCAGAUGAGGGAACUGGCAUGAUAUUCACAGAGAGGCGACAUCACCCGCUGAAGAUCACACAGCAAGUCCCUGGGCCACCUGAAUCCUGGCCAUAGCUCCACCCUGCUACCCCCUCUCUUAAGUAACACAUUAAUAAGUGUCUUACCCUCAGACCAUUAUCUGUGCUGCCUGGCUAGGGAACAUUUCUGAAACACAUCAAACAUUGACAAAAGGAGGUGUUUUUCUGUCCUCAGGCCAGGCCCUUUGGCCUCUGUUAACCAGUGAGUGUCCUCUGUUAAUCCUGAGCCCAGCUCCUCCCACACACAAGGACAAACAAGGGCACUGGGCACGGGAGAAAGCUGUCCACCAGGGCCAGGAGGGGACGUGGAAGGUUAGUGGGUCCCCUCCCCCAAAGCAAUGCACACAGCUGGGGCUCAAUAAGUGCUACUGGGUGGUAGGAACGGAACCAGCUGAGGGCACAGGAAGAGGGAUCUGCUAAGCAGAGGAGGCCUGACCUGGGCUUCAUUGGGUAAAACCAGUCAUCAUAAUAAGUAGCUGGCAUUUUGGGAGCUCUUAGUAAGUUCCAGACACUUCCCUGAGCACUGGACAUGGUCACUCACUAACGUUUCCAUGUUUCACCAUCAGUAGGGUGCGUAUGUCGCUCUCCCCAGUCUACAAACAGGAAGCUGAAGGCAAGAGCGAUGAAGUCAUUUGCUUAAGUCACACUAUUACCAAAGGCCGAGCUUGGAUUCACACCCAGCAUCCUGGCUCCAGACCCAAGCUCUCAACCACCAUGCAAGCCUGUGGGAGUGGGAGGGGUGAAAUGUACGAGUGAGGGGUGACUUCUAGGUAUUGGCUUGGGGUGGUGUCUCUUUGAUGGAUAUGCGGGAGGGGCGCAGGUGUCAGGUAGGGUACUGGGGAGAAGGUGGAUGAAUUGGGUUGGCAGGUGUUGAGUUCCAGAUGCCUGGGGAUGCUCAGGUGGAGGAGGCAGGAGAGAGGCGGCUUAUGGCGCUGAGGCUGGUGGAGGGGGCUGGAGCUGCUCACUCCAGAGGCAUCAGUGUAGAAAUGCAGCCUGGGAGACACCUGAGCAAUGAAGGGGCAAGGCCACAGCUAAGGCAGGGGAGUUGAUAUUUAGUGUGCAAGGACUCAAAAUGACAGCAGGAAGUGUUUUGGAGACCAUUAUUAUUAUUAUUAUUGAGAUAGAGUCUCACUCUGUUGCCCAGGCUGGAGUGCAGUGGUGCAAUCAUAGCUUAUUGUAACCUUCGACUUCUGGGCUGUAGUGAUCCUCCUGCCUCAGCCUCCUGGGACUCAGCCACCACAACCAGCCAAUUUUUAGAUUUUUCUGUAGGGACAGGGGUGUGGGGGGGCCUCCCUAUAUUGUCCAUGCUAGUCUUGAACUCCUGACCUCAAUUAGUCCUCCUGCCUUAGCCUCCCAAAGUGCUGGGAUCACAGGAAUCAGUCACCACAUCUGGCCAAGUGCUAUUUUUAUUUAUUUAUUUAAUUUCAUUUCAUUUAUUUAUUUUUGAGACAGAGGUUUGUUGUUGUUGUUGUUGUUUUUGAGAUGGAGUCUCACUCUGUCACCCAGGCUGGAGUGAAGUGGUGUGAUCUUGGCUCACUGCAACUUCCACCUCCUGGGUUCAAGCGAUUCUCCUGCCUCAGCCUCCUGAGUAGUUUGGAUUACAGGUACCUGCCACGCGCCCGGCUAAUUUUUUUGUGUUUUUAAUACAGAUGGGGUUUCACCAUGUUGGCCAGGCUGGUAUCGAACUCCUAAGCUCAGGUGAUCCACCCGCCUCAGCCUCCCAAAGUGCUGGGAUUACAGGUAUGAGCCACUGUGCCUGGCCAAGUGCUAUUUUUAAAUGAAUGUUUUCUUUAUUUUGAGAAUAGAUAAUAAAUGCACAAUAAAUUCACUCCCAAA